UUUGCUCCUAAACACCUUUUAGAGGAAAUCACAACCUUUUACUUUUAUUCAUUAGACUGAGCUGAUCUAAUGUCAUGAACUGAGUGGAGUGGGAAGUUGUCUCUGCACAUCUACCUGAUUUAUUGCAACACUUCACUUCUUUAUUACUUCUCUGUUUCUUUGUAUAUGUGGUAGCUGUUUGUCACAUGUGUGUACUUAGAUUUGGAGAAGAUAGGAAUGUGGUUGCUAAGGUGUUGCUAUGUGCACUGAUGUCACACAGGUGAAGGGUGUGUUGUACCAAACAGGAUGACACACGGAUGUGUGGGUUAGUUUGAUCUGUGACUCUGUGGUAGAGAGGCCACUUUAUACACAGACUUUAAACUUGCUACAUUUUAUUGUUUGAUUUCUUAACUUUUUUUAAAAACUUUUUUUUAUUAAGUGGAAUAAAUCUUCAGUGUGUUCCUUUUUACAUACUGAAAAAGCUGAUACUGAACUCAGACUUUUUGUUUUUUAUCUUUCAGUGGAUAAUUUUAAUUUUUCAUCCUGAUGAUCAGAAGAGUGUUUGAGGGUUUCAGAGAUCCUUCACAACAACAACAAGAAAAGCAUCACAGCUGAGUCUGGACAGAACGUCACUCUAACAUGUCGAGCUCCAAACAACAACUUCAUCUUAGGUGUAGAGUGGAGCAGAGCUGACCUGGAGACAGAAUAUGUGCUUUUUUACAGAGAUGACCAGUUUGAUCCAGUCAACCAGCAUCCAUCUUUUAAGAACCGGGUGGAUCUGCAGGACAAACAGAUGAAGGAUGGAGAUGUGUCUUUGAUUCUGAAGAAUGUGACGAUUAAUGACACUGGAACAUACGAGUGUCGUGUCAAGACAGGAACAAAACAUAGAAAGAGAGCAAUUUUAAAUGAUAACCCCAUCAGCAUCAUCAGACUGAGUGUUGUUGAUCCUCCAGGUCAAGGAGGAGACACAGAGGAUGGAGGGAAGGAGGCAGGAGGGAAGGAGGGAGGAUCUGUUGGACUGAUCGUCGGUCUGUCAGUUUCUGCUGUGUUUCUUGUUGUUGCUGUUGUUGGUUUUUUGAUCUACAGAAAACAUAAACAGCAGAGUCAGGGUCCAUACUAGCCUCCUGAGUAAUUGCAGCAUAUUUGAAAUGUCUUUAGUGUUUUUGAUGAUAAUGAUGUUUGGUAAGAGAAGCCUGCAUCGCUACGGUAAAAUGCAAAAUGGAAUUCAGUUGCCCAAUAUCCAAAUUUAAAACAAAAAACAAACACACACACACACAAAACAAGCAGGUUGAGAACCAGGAGCAGCUGAUCUGUCAGCCUGAGACUGGCAGGGAUUUAUAAAAACAAACAUAUUCUUUAAUAUCACUGAGACUGAACUUCUAGCUUUGUUUUUUUAAUUCAGUAGGUUAAUAACACAAGAUGAUAUAUAUUAUAUGUUGAAAGUGUUAAAGCCUACACUGUUUUACUAAGUGUGUGAAUAUAUUUGGCUUAUGGCAUUUUGUAAAUAAUAGUACUUAGCAGUAAUAGUAGUAGAAAAGUACUGCACAGCAUCUCCACCACUGUUUUUAUAUUUUGCUUGGAAAUUUGGAGUUAGUUGCAGAUGUUUAUUAAAACGUGCAAACACGCGUGAAUAUAAAGGAUUUAGGCCAAAACGUUCUAACAAGCUAAAAGUCUAUAUUUGGUGUUAUCAAAGCAAAUCCUUGACUAAUACUUGCCAACUGCAUGUUUUCAUGUCCUGGUAUGAUUUUACUGCCCCAGCAGUGUUACUGGGAUCACUGUCAUGCUGAAAAAUGUAACUGCUGCCAGUCAGACUCUUUCUAGAUGGUAUUACACAGGGGAUCAAGUUGUCUGUUAUCCAUAGGCACAGAACUGGUUCAUCCCUUGAGUAAGGAUUGUUUUUAUUUUUUUUUAUGGUUGAAUAAUUCAUCAGUCAAUGUUAAGUGUCCUAAUGAACACACUCAAAAUUCCCUGUGUAAACUGGACUGAAAGUUAUUGGAAACCUUUCAUAACAAACAAACCGAUAUUUAUGCAGAGAUCCACAGUUACAGAUUGUUACAGACACUCAACCAAGUACAGAAACACUGUGUCAUAAUCAAGCUGUUAAUAAUCUGCCUAAUAAUGUUCAGGAUCCGUUUAGCAGCUAUUACUGAGUAAACUUUGUGGUAGAUAUUGUUAUGAAACCAAAGAGAAACCUUUUCCAAGUAGCUACAGAGGGAGAUCUGUCCUCUCUCUGAUCUGUAAAGCUCUGACUUUUCCUUCCAUUUAGGAGACUUUGAAGUCUGUAACUUCUGUUUAAAUAUUGCAAGACUUGUUCAUAUAUUGCUGUUUAUUUAUUUUUAUUUCUGUUUAUUUGUUUAUUGUUAAUAAAAUGUUGCAAACAUU